rnacentral:rRNA from 1 species
CACGUAGGCACCAAGCGUUGUCCGGAUUUAUUGGGCGUAAAGAGCUCGUAGGCGGUUCAGUAAGUCAGGUGUGAAAUCUUUGGGCUUAACCCAAAGCGUGCACUUGAUACUGCUGUGACUUGAGUUCGGUAGGGGAGUGGGGAAUUCCUAGUGUAGCGGUGAAAUGCGCAGAUAUUAGGAGGAACACCGGUGGCGAAGGCGCCACUCUGGGCCGAAACUGACGCUGAGGAGCGAAAGCGUGGGUAGCAAACAGGA